rnacentral:rRNA from 1 species
GACGACCGCUGUCGGCGUGCCUAACUCAUGCCAGUCGAACGCAAAGGCCAUGAUUUUUUGCGGUGCUCUAGUGCCAAACGGGUGUGUCACACGUGAGUACCCUGACCUUGAUUUUGGGAUAACUUCAGGAAACCCGGGCUCCUCCCGCAUAGGAGCUCCCGCUCCACUGUGGGCGUUGCACUGUUUCGGCGGUUGGGGAUGGACUGGCGUCUUCUCCGCUUGUUGGUGGGGUAGUGGUUUCCCAAGGUUUCGACGGGUAGCCGGCCUGAGAGGGUGACCGGCCACAUUGGGACUGAGAUGCGGCCCAGACUCCUACGGGAGGCAACAGUGGAGAAUAGUGCACAAUGGGCGGAAGCCUGAUGCAGCAACGCCGCGGGCGGGAUGACGGCCUUCGGGUUGUAAACCGCUUUCGCCUGAGACGAAGCGUGAGUGACGGUAAUGGGUAAAGAAGCACCGGCUAACUACGUG